rnacentral:rRNA from 1 species
CCUACGGGAGGCAGCAGUGGGGAAUAUUGCACAAUGGGGGAAACCCUGAUGCAGCGACGCCGCGUGAGUGAAGAAGUCCCUCCUUAUGUAAAGCUCUAUCAGCAGGGAAGAAAAGGACGGUACCUGAGCAAGACGCCCCGGCUCACUACGUGCCAGCAGCCGCGGUCAUACGUAGGGGGCAAGCGGUAUCCGGAUUUACGGGGGGUAAAGGGGGCGUAGACGGCAGUGCAAGUCUGGAGUGAAAGGCGGGGGGUCAACCCCCGGACUGCUCUGGAAACUGUACGGCUGGAGUGCAGGAGAGGUAAGUGGAAUUCCUGGUGUAGCGGUGAAAUGCGUAGAUAUUAGGAGGAACACCAGUUGCGAAGGCGGCUCUCUGGACUGUAACUGACACUGAGGCACGAAAGCGUGGGGAGCAAACAGGAUUAGAUACCCUUGUAGUC